rnacentral:rRNA from 1 species
GAGCGGACAGAUGGGAGCUUGCUCCCUGAUGUUAGCGGCGGACGGGUGAGUACACGUGGGUAACCUGCCUGUAAGACUGGGAUAACUCCGGGAAACCGGGGCUAAUACCGGAUGGUUGUUUGAACCGCAUGGUUCAAACAUAAAAGGUGGCUUCGGCUACCACUUACAGAUGGACCCGCGGCGCAUUAGCUAGUUGGUGAGGUAACGGCUCACCAAGGCAACGAUGCGUAGCCGACCUGAGAGGGUGAUCGGCCACACUGGGACUGAGACACGGCCCAGACUCCUACGGGAGGCAGCAGUAGGGAAUCUUCCGCAAUGGACGAAAGUCUGACGGAGCAACGCCGCGUGAGUGAUGAAGGUUUUCGGAUCGUAAAGCUCUGUUGUUAGGGAAGAACAAGUACCGUUCGAAUAGGGCGGUACCUUGACGGUACCUAACCAGAAAGCCACGGCUAACUACGUGCCAGCAGCCGCGGUAAUACGUAGGUGGCAAGCGUUGUCCGGAAUUAUUGGGCGUAAAGGGCUCGCAGGCGGUUUCUUAAGUCUGAUGUGAAAGCCCCCGGCUCAAUCGUCCAGGGUCAUUGCAAACUGCCGAACUUGAGUGCAUAUGAGGAUAGUGGAAUUCCACGU